UAACCGACUAGAGCACUGGCCGAGAGGACCGCUGAGGGAUGCUAGAAAUUGAUUCUCGUACCCAGGAGAGGCUUUGCUCCCUGUUAAAGGCGGCGAAGAGAUGUAAUUUCCCACCCGUGAAGCUCAGCCCGUUCUCUCAGGAUAAAACUAGUAUUUGAGAUGCUCCCAAUCUACUGCUGUGCAUCGCCAUAAAAUCAAUCCACGCAUAGCUGGAAACCUUAUGUUAUUGCUCUUUCAAUGCGUGGUGCGUGAACUGUUAUUCAGUGUUGUGUGUUAAGUUACCUUUGGUCAGGAAGAAGACAGAACACUCCGUAGAGGGCUAUGAGGGGAAGGAAGAAGAGGGAUGUUAAGCCGCCCUGAAGCAGAUGGACAAGCAGGAGCUCUGUUUCUGGUUCCCGCGGAAAACUUCUCCAUCGUCUGUAUCCACAGAGAUUGUGUUCUACCCAUUGAGGAAAGGCCAUCUACAAGCCAGGAAGAGAGUUCUCACCAUCCUGAUGGCACCUUGAUCUUGAACUUCUAGACUCCAGAACUGACUUGAAGAGUUCGAAACUUUUCCACCAUCCAUACUGCAAAAACAUAAGAAAGCAUGUUCUAGACAGAACACCAAGGUGUGGCUGGAAAGUUAUUUGAUAAAGAGAUUACGGAUGUGAAUCACAACUUGAAUCAACCAUCUCAGGAGAACCCAGGAAUAGAGAUGGCAUUUUGUCAGCAGAAACACUACCAGGUCUGGUGACGCCCUGAUGGGAGUGAAAACAGGGAGCCAGGUGCACAGCUUGGCUCAACCUGGAGACUCACACAUGUUUGAUGCAUGAAUGUCGGUGCACGAGGACACUUGGUGGGAGGUAAUCAGCCUCAGCCCUGGAAGCGGAUAGCUUUACUCAGAACACCUCGAAACAGUGGUCUCAGGGGGCAGGAGUGCACGGUGGGGCUGGCUUUACAAGCACAAUCAGCUCACUUCCAGCUAGCUUCAGGAUGCGUGGACUCUGGCUCUCUCUGUCCUUCACACCUCCUUCAGCUCCUCUGUCCCUCAGGCCACCCCCUCUCCCUAAGUUCCCCACUGCCCCCAGCACUCUCUAGCUUCCAGCUCCCUCUGUUUCCCAGGUGCAAGGAGAGAACAAUGGGGCUCUCAGAACUCCUGACCCUGUGCACUCCUCAUGGACCAAGAUGCACCAGGGAGCUGCAGAGUCUGGAGACUUUAGUGUGGAUUUCGACUGUGCCCCUUCCCGGGACUGUGACCUUGACCAAGUCCCUCCCUGCUGUUGGCCAACAUUUCCUUGUGUCCAAAAUUGGAAAAUUCACAAUUCCUCCCCUGUGUUGAGGGACAUGGAGAGGGCACAUGUGUGAUGCAUGUCCCUUAAUUCCACCAGGUGGCCUCCUUGGUGAGAAGACAUGCCCCUUCUGA